CUUGAAGACUUUUCUUCUUGCCCUAGCUUUAGGGACUAAAGGCUCUUACCUAAAUUGUCAGGAUGGAGAAGAAAACAAAACAGGCUUCCUUCCUCCAAAUGAUAUGACAGAAGUGUCACUAGAAGAAUAUGAUGAUUACAGAGAAACAACUGAUGGAAUCAAGCUGGCAAAAGCAACAGGAAUAAACUCUCAUGGUUUCAAGUUAACAUUUACUCAAGGAGAACACAAUGCUCUUUAGCAAAGAUUUUCCCUGCUAUAAUGUAUUUGCCUGUCAUGUGUCUCUGCAGUUUAAAGUGAGAUCAUACCCAGAGACAGAGCAGUGUAAAAGGGAAGGUACUAGACUGUUUGUCUAUCUUUGAUUAGCAGGUAGGAGAGAGAUGAAAGACAAUGAGCAGGCAGGAGAGAGAUGAAGGAAGAAUUUAGAUUGAGACAAAAUUACAUAUAAUAUUUGGCUUUUAUGUAUUUUCAUUAAUUAGAAUAAGACAGCCUUUCUGUGUUCAAAGGGAUUUUAAUCAUGAAAGGUUAUACAUUAUAUAAAGACAAGUAGAUUAAAAGCAAGCAAAUAAAGAAUACCUCAUGCUGAAAUAAAAAGUCA
ensembl:lncRNA